rnacentral:lncRNA from 1 species
CCUCAGUUGCUUAUUGUUAUAGUUUGUGCCUAGAUGUACCCUCCAUGCUUCAUUCAUCAUAGGGUUUUUUCAGAGGUGGCUGAAUCUAGAGUGUGUGAUGCUGGAAUUGAGGGUGUGUGAUUACUAAAUCGGUCCAUAAUCAGCUGGCUCCAAAGCAGGCUGGCUUGGCAGAAGAAAAGUAGUUCAUGGCGGCCAGAAGGUAGCAAAGAGACAAAGGACUUAACUGUCUUUCUGCCCCUUUUAUCUUAUCCAAACUACCUGGAUGAGGGCAGUGCCAAAUCCAUCAGUGGACUGAUUUAGCAAUCACACCCUUAAUCCCAGCAUCAGCCACUCUAGAUUCAGCCUCCUCUGCAAAAGCCCUAUGACCCCAUGAGACUUUGAGGGGACAUCUAGAUGCGAACCAUCACACAUGGGAAUAUACAAAAUGGUACAGCCACUAUGGAAAACACUUUGGUAGUUUCUUAUAAAGCUAAACAUUCACUUACCAUAUGACCUUGCAGACUAACUUCUGUUUAACUGAAAUGAAAAACUAUGACAACACAAAAAACCAUUUAUAGUGGUUUUAUUCAUAAUUGCUAAAAUAGGAAAAAACCCAAAUGUCCCUCAACUAGGAAUUAAGUAAAUAGUUGCAAGUUAGUGCAAGGCAACUUGUCCAGCAAACAAAAGUAAUGAACUAUUAAUUCACACACCAUAGAGGAAUUGCAAAUGCGUUAUACCAGUGAAGGAAGCUGUGCUCAACCAGCUGUGUAUAUGUCUGCUGAUAAUCCCAUUGCCUCGAAAAUGUCCUCUCGACCACUUGAUGCAAGUCUCUGAAGGGAAGCACGUCUCUGAGUCAGCUGCUUCUAUGGCUCUUCAAGACUCACCCCAAACCUGGCACAUAGCUUAGGUUAAACAAUUUGGGAGAGCCCCAAAAGCAAUGUUUCCUGUUCAGUGCUGAGACUCUUUGUUUCACUGCAUACGAGCAAAUAAGAAAAAUGAUUACUGUAUAGGCCUUGUUUUUCUCAUCUCAUGCCCUUAAUUAAACAAGUAAUUUUAC